rnacentral:lncRNA from 1 species
UAUUUCCGACGCGUUGGUGCGCUCGGAAUAGCAUUUCGAAAAGUGUAUGUAAAGUUAUGGCCAAAUAAGCCUAAUUAGGCUUCUUUAUGCCGCAGGUAAAGAAAGAAACGUCUGAAAAUCCCCGAGAAAAUCGUCGGAGCACCUAAAGAGACCUACAAGGUGGUGUGCUUCUCAACUUAUUGAACUUCCCUCUAUGCCUAAUGUGUCAUUCUUUGAGCAUAUGUUCUAUAUAUUGUUGCACAUGCAUUUAGGUAAAGUAAUGAUGAAAUGUGAUGAUUGCAUGAUUGUGAGUACAACUGCAUAAUGAGAUGGUUUGAGAACCUGAUAAUGUAAAAACCUAUGUGUAUGCAUGAGAGAAAAGUGAGCACCCAAAGUGAGCAAAAGAACCGAGUGGCACAAUGACAUAGAUCGAGUGGCAUUCGAUAAAGCUAAUGUGAAAUGACACUAGAGUUAGUGUGAUGUAAAGAACUAAAGUGAUGUAAAAUGAGAAAGUGACAACGUGUAAAGUCAAAGUAAAAUGGGGCAAUAAGAACAAGAAUUGUAACGAACAGAAAUGCUAGAGUUAGCAAGAGAAAUGAAAAUGUAAAGAAUGUGAUUGCAUGAGUUUGCAACAUAAAGUGAUGUAAAGAACACUAGAGCUAGUGUAAAGUCAAGAUUGAACUUAUAAAUCCUUUGAGUUAAGGAUAUGAUCAUACUUGCUAUGAGUUCCGUGCUCGAGCGGUCGCUUCCCCUGGCGAUGGCGCUCCGGAGUUAUGCAUCCGGGUUGGAGUAAACCGUAAGGACGGUCCUAGCUGGUGAGUUCCUGCGAUGAUGGACUUAAUGUGAAGCAAGUUAAUGUGGAGAACCCCCGGGUUACCUUAAUGAUUAAAAGCAAAGAGUAAAGAACAAAGAGCCAAGAACAAAGUGUAAAGUGCAAAGAACUAAAGAACAUGCAUAACCUGCAUUUAGUAAUGUUGGGCAUAAUUCUUGCUAUUUUUCAGGCAUAUUAGCAUUAUGUAUAGUUUGGUUACUAUUUACAGCCUAUUUCUUCUAUUAUGCUGAGUUAGUCCUAGUAGGAAAGUCGGUGAUAGUUGAGGCCGAACCCACUGGGAGCUUUGUUGUAGUUCUCACCCCACUAUUUCCACAGAGCCGGGACCGAGCGAGCCGGCGAGCGACCGAGGUAAAGGUAUCGCGCCUUAGUCAGAGGCCACCAAAGUUGGGUUACAUUUUGUUAGUAGCUACCCCCAUGUUCAUCUUUUUGUACUUGAUGAUUAGUAAUGUAAAGAAAGAAUGUAAGCUUAUUUUGAGGUAAAUGUGAUGUAAGAAAGAAAUGAUGAAAUGAUAUAAUGAACGUAAGAAUCGAUAAAUUACUAGAUGAAUGCAAUGCAUAUGAUCUAAAAUGAAUCAUAAUUACCUGUGAAUGUUUAGUUUCCUUUUUUCUUUCACUAAUGGCUAUUGCUUACCCUCGUGUAAGCCGUUUGUGUAUGUUUCCGCUGUGCUUUUCUCUAUUGAUGAAAAUGUACAUGUGAUGAGCCUUGGCGGAUAGGGGAAACUCUGUCCCGUUCGCGUCUGUUUGACGUGCUCGGGUCGGGCCAAAUUGGCAUCGGUCCCGGGGCAUGACAGAUAAGUUGGUAUCAGAGCCAAUAGUGAAAGAAUAGGAAUGGACCUAGAGACCCUUAGGAUUGGAAGGCCUUAAGGAUCUAGGAAACGUGAGUGACGUGGAAUCAAAGUUAGCGAAAGCAUGUGAUUGGGUUAAGUUGGGAUGUCUUUAAUGUGAUUAGAGGCUAAGUUUAAUUUUCGUUUAUCCUUUACUUCUAGUGUUGUGCCGGGCGGCCGACGACAUGACGCUUGAGGCAAGGAUGAAUGUGCAUGUUGCUUUCGCCUAAUUGGGUAUGGUCAAGUAAUGUUGGUCAAGUGACUAAUGCGAGUUGCUUCUUUUCAGGAAGCAAUGGCACCUCGACGUCGAUCGCAAAUAAGGUCGAUGCCGGAGGAAGCAAAUGCGAUGCCCGAGCAAUCCGGAGCGAGUGGCGACGGAGAGCUUAGGGAACAAAUGGCCGCGCUCGUCGGAGUAGUGCGGCAACAAGCGGAGUCUGUUCAGCGCCAAGGGGAACAGAUUUAGCGGCUCCAGGAGACCUUGGAGCGCCAGUAGGCGGCGGCGGCCCAGGCGGGCGUCGAGCAUGUCGCGCCCCCUGCGGUAGUGCCGAGCGUGGACGUGGGAGCGGCGGCAGCGGCGGCUGUUCCAGUUACGGUAGUACCGGCCGGGUCGGGAACCUCGAAUCCCGAUAGCGCGGCAGUCGAUGCGGAGCGAGAGCGCACUCUGGCGGCUCUCAUUCAGUUCAAGAAGUUCGACCCACCUACCUUCGAAGGCGGUUUGGUGGAGCCAGCGGUUGUGGAGUCGUGGAUCGACUCGAUGGAGACCCUCUUCGAGGAUUUGAAUACCUUGGAGAAGGAUAAAGUGUACCUCGCCACCCAUUGUCUAGGGAAGGCGGCGACGGUGUGGUGGAAGCGAGUUAAGCGGGAUCGACCUGCCGAUCUCCCGCUCAUGCUUUGGGAAGAGUUCAAGAGAUCAGUGUUCGCGAACUACUUCCCCGACACGGUGAAGCGGAGGUUACAAGAAAAGUUCCGCAAGUUGAGACAGGGCGAUCGUUCGGUGGGAGAGUAUGAGCAAGAAUUUUCCCACAUUAUUGACUGCGUUCCCGAUGUUGUUCGCGAUGAUCGGGACCGGGCGGAUUGGUUCUUGCGAGGACUCCAACCCCGGAUUUAUGAAAAAGUGCAGAUCUUGAAGCUGUCGACCUUUGCGGAGGUCUUCGAUAGAGCUUUGUGGGCGGAGCACGGUAGCGCCCAUGUGCGUGAAGAACGAGAAGCUAUUGCCGAGUCCAAGGACAAGGGCAAGAAGAGGACGGCGGGUGGUGCCGGGGGCCGGCCAAAUGCUAAGAAACCCCCUCGGUAUCCCCGACAGCAGUCGAGGAAUUGGAGACCAUAUCGAUGCGUUAUAUGUGGCGGAAAGCACAAGGUGUCGACUUGCCCGCAGCGAGACGGCAAAUGCUUCAAAUGUGGCCAACCGGGACAUCUUAUCCGGGAGUGCCCGUCGUGGACGUCGUCUGCGCCAACGGCAGCAUCAACACCGUCUACCCCGAGACAGCUUGCGGGUUACCACCGGCGAUGUCGGCUGGACGCGCGUCAGCACCGCGUCAGCCGGAGGGAUCGAGAGCGCCUAGCGGUCGAGUCUUUGCCGCUCAGGUGGAGGAGCAACAACCUGCAGCACCCGACGACGUCGUGGCAGGUAUAAUUGUGAUUAAAGGCACUAGAGCUAGAGCCGUGUUUGACACAGGCGCAUCUCAUUCAUUCAUUAGCACUUCAUUUGCUAAGACUCAUGGCAUAGAGAUGGUGUACAAUGAGGACUACUGGUGGGUGAAUGCCCCAGAACAUUCAUUCAGUGUCCACAACGAGUGUUUGGCGUGUCCAGUGCAAAUAGGCGAUUGGAUUAUGCCGGUUGAUCUGCUAGUGCUAGAUUAGAUGUGGGAAUUUGAUGUUAUCUUGGGGACCAACUGGCUCUCACAAAUACGAUGCAGUGAGAAUUGUGAAAGCAAGGUAUCACUUUUCGUCGAACCUAAUCAACGAAGAUUUAGUCUACCAAGCGUGGCAAAAGUAGGACCUUCAGGGGCACUAUAUCGCUUAAGGGGAAGAAAAAUCAAGAGGAGUGUAAGGCUAUUUGCACCAUGUGGAUUCUGAAAGAGUACCACUUGGGAGAUAUUGAUAUGUUGCGAGUACUCUAUAUUUCCGGGAUCACCCAUGGACUUUGCACCGAAUCGGUGAUGAGUUUGUCAUUGACUUAAUUCCGGCGGAACUACAGUUUCGACUCGCUCUGUACGAAUGCAGCCAGUGGAGUUAAAGAGAGCUAACGAAGGUCAAUUACAGACUCCUAUCAUAAAAGGCUCUGUGAGACCGACGUGUGUCACUGGGGACUCGGCUGAGCUAUUGAAAAAAAGUACGGUACAUGGCCUUCCGACUCUCGUAGAUUUGAGAAUUGAAACAAUAGUAACGAUAACAAGAACAAGUACCUCACUUGCAGGAGAUAUGAUGAUCCUAAUUCGAUCAGUUGCAAAGGUCCAAGGUGUAUUAAGAUCAUCUCCAAUCGGGAUAUCAAUCAAUAAAAAUCAGGCCAAGAGGAUUGCACCAACGCAUACGGCGACCCGUCCGCGUAUAUGGCAUAUGAUUCACUUAUAUUCCGAGUUUGGGCUUACUAAUGCGACCAGCAGGCAUUUAUAGACUUUAUGAAUCAGUCUUUAGGGCCAGUUGUUGGAUGCGAGGUGCGUCGUGUGUUUUAUAGACGACGUAUGGCUACCUUCGACCAAGCGACAGAGUAGCAUGAAAGAGCAUCUGAGAGCUGUGUUCCAAAUAUCAAGACAAAGAAGACUCUAUCAAAAUUGAAGAUAAUGUGACUUUUGGCUAAAGGAGGUCCAUCAGUUCUUUGGUUCUGGGUAUUCUGGCGGACGGAGUUUCGGUAGACCGAAGAAAGUGAAACGAUGAACAUGAUUGGCCUCGCCCAACCGAUUAUCGGAGAUCCGCAGUUUUAUCUUGGACUAGCGGGCUACUACCACUUCAUCGGUUUCGUGAGGUCGCAGCAAACAUAACCACUCCACUAAUCAGGCCACCAUAAGGAUAAAUACGUGUGAUGCCGAGCGAUUGCGAUCGAAGACUUCGGAUUAAAGAACAUUGACGUCGCCCCUGUGUUUGCCUGCCGACUCGGGAGAUCUUUUGUAGUGUACAUGAUCUUCUAGUUGUCUCGGUUUGCUGUAUUAAUGCAAAUGGCGUCUACUUGCAUAUGCCUCGCUGCCAUUAAAGAUUACGACGAAGAACUUAUACCCGAUUCACACUACUCUUGAGUUGCCGCCCAUCGGUUGAAAUUCGAUUCCGCGCCUAAAAAAUGUAACAUAUAUGGUAGCAAUUGGUAGGUAUAUAGCUCCGCGAUCACUAAGAUCUCAGGAGUGACUACAAAAGAUUUAAAUAUGGGCUACAUUACGACGUGGUAUAAGUUCGUAAACGUGACUAUGAUUCACUAUAUAUACCACCUGAUACCACCCAUCGAAAACCAAUGUCUGCCAAGGCCUAAGUAGAAGAAUUCGCGGCAGAACCUAGCGACGGCAAUGACCCCAGCCGCUAUUACAAAAGCGAAUGCAACAUUCAGGAGUGAAGUGGUACUCCCGGAGUGCCGCUACCCUGCCACAUUGGUUGCAACCGACCCUAUUUGAAAAUAUCAAGAUUACAAGCUUCGACCAUUAUCUCCAAAAGUCUCGGGUGAUUUGAACAUGGAUAUGCGAAGACAUCUUGUCGUUGAGUUUUGGCGCAAUUAACGAUUUCGAAAAGAAUAGUUUUGCCUAAAGAUGAUGAUUAAAGGCGAAUCAUGCACAGAACCGCAUCAACUCCCUAUAGUGAUACACUCCGUCACUAAAUAAUGUACACAGCGAUUGAAAAGCACUAUUGUGGCCGCGGAUGAAAAGAGAUAUUGGGGAGUUCGUUGCCAAUUUUAACCGUGCCACAGGCUUUAAAAGCAAGCGCCGAUUCUCGGCGGGAAAGCACAAAGUCUACCAAUACCUCAGUUGGAAAAUGACAAGAUAUGAGCAAUGUACUUUGAUACCGUUUGACCUUGAUCGUCAAUGCGACACGACCGAUAUGGUAAUAAGUGAUCGAAUUUGACAAAAGUCGCACAACUUGUCUGCCGUAUACCGACCUGACGGGUCGGGAGACAGCUAGUCGCAAGUUUUACUCGAACAGAAGUUGUGAGACUUCAUGGGUCCAUGUUGAUCGGUUCGGAUACGAAGACUACGCCCUAGGUUCACACCCAGUCUUUUUAACGAGUUUGCAAGACGGCGCUAGGCACUAGCGCUCGACUUCAGUACAGAGACGUUUCUAUCCUCAGCAGUGUAUUAGACCAUACAGACGCGAAACAAUAACAACAUCCUUGAGAUUUACACUUCGGCGUUUUGUGCUAGAUUACACAGGAGAGGCUAUGACUUCUUGCAUAUUUCGAGUUCCUACAAUAAAUACUACCAAGAAGUAUAACGCGAUGGCUCCUUUCUGAGGCACUAUAUAGUUCGACUAAGUGUCGUCCGUCUAUCCAUUUGAGCGACGGGGCCGAGAGAACGACUCUUUGGCCCUUGUGUGCGGAGGCGAAAGACGAAAGUCCGCUUGCCGUCAACGUGCGAUGCGCAAUCUCCUUGCAAAACGAUUAUGCCGACAAGAGCCAAAAAGAUUUAAGUUCGCGUUGGGUACGUGUAUUCUUAAUAUGUCUCGAUAUCGGAGGAGUUAAACGAUUCCGGGGUCCGUGGAGUCGAAGCCUCCGUUAAUGUUGCGACCGUUUGAAGAUAAUUGGAGGUGUUGGGUGCGGAUGCGUAUAACUUCGCACACACCUGAGACUGCAAGGAAGAGUCAGCAAUGUUUUCAUGUCGAAUCUUCGAGAAGUAUACAUGCCAAACUGCAACACAUGAUUGAAUAACGAGCCGUGAUACUGAAGACAUUCCCUAUGAGAGCAGCCCGGUUUCCUCGAUCGAUCCGAAUAAAAAUUAAGAAUCGCAUCCAAAUCUUAUGUAAAAGUCAAUGGACAACCACCGCGCGCGAGAACCCUGGUGACUCGAGGAGUCAAUGUCAAAGAGUACCCGCAUUGUUAAAUGACGAUAAGGUUGCGUAAUUUCGACGACGAUAAUAUUUAAGGGGUUGGAAAAUAGUAAUCAUAUCCCGCGAAAAUUCGGUAAAAUAAAAAUGUGAACUUUAGUCAAUGACAACAGUGCGAAGACGGGAACACUGGUUCGAAAAAAUCCGAAGGUGUUAAAAUGAUCUAAAGUGAGUUGUGGAAGGUUUUCGAGAGCUAAAGGAUCAAAUUCUGCGAAACUGCAGAUUUUCAGCUCUCGGGGACCGGUCCCUGGUGGGAGAGACCGGUCCCCGAACGCGUAUGAAAUGAGACAGCCGAAAAAUCGGCUAAGUCCUGAGAAAGUAGCUCUCGGGAACCGGUCCCUACCCGAGCGACCGGUCCCCCGGAGACCGGUCCCAUCAGAGAGAGACCGGUCGCAUCACGCGCAGCGGCUCUGGCUGCGCAGGGUGGACGUUCGGGAACCGGUCCCUGCUCGGGGAGACCGGUCCCUGCCUGCGCGAACUGCCCAGUUCGGGCAGUGUAUUAAAGUGAAAGUUGAGGGGUUUUAUUGCAUUUUUGCAACCCAUUGAGCUAUGUUAGAGGGUUAAUGAGAUUUUCUCUCAUUCCCACCCUCUCAAACACUCUCUUCUCUCCCUCUCUCUCUCUAGAAGGCAAAGGAGAAGAAGAAGAAAGAAAGAAAGGAAGGAAAAGAAGGAGAGGAAAGUGAAGAAGAAGAUCAAAGAGCAAAGGAGCUUCAUCUUCUUCCUCUCUAGUGCGAGAAAAGGAAGUUUACAAGGUAAGCUUUGAACCCUAAUGUAGUAAAAUCCUAAAAUGGGUUUGAAUGACCUAGAAAUGAGUUUUAGUGAGAUGUUUAAAGAGUUUUGAAGCUUUCUUUUGCUUCUAAAGAGAUCAAAACCUAGAUUUGUUAUAGAGGUGAGCUUGGACCACCUCUCAUGGUGAAAUCCAAACUAGGAUUUUGGAAAGCCUAAGAAUGGUUCUAAUGGAUUAUAUAGAGUAUAAUGGAGCUACUUUUGCUUCCCAAUGAGAUCAAACCCUAGGUUUUGUAUAUGCAUUGGAGCUAGGGCACCCAAAUUGGGGCUUUUGCUCAUAGGGGUUUCUAAGUGCAAUUAACCCUCUAGAAACCUAAUUGGGGGUAUUUUCGACGCGUUGGUGCGCUCGGAAUAGCAUUUCGAAAAGUGUAUGUAAAGUUAUGGCCAAAUAAGCCUAAUUUGGCUUCGUUAUGCCGCAGGUAAAGAAAAAAACGUCUGAAAAUCCCGAGAAAAUCGUCGGAGCACCUAAAGAGACCUACAAGGUGGGUGGUGCUUCUCAAACGUAUUGAACUUCCCUCUAUGCCUAAUGUGUCAUUCUUUGAGCAUAUGUUCUAUAUAUUGUUGCAUGCAUUUUAGGGUAAAGUAAUGAUGAAAUGUGAUGAUUGCAUGAUUGUGAGUACAACUUGCAUAAUGAGAUGGUUGAGAACCUGAUAAUGUAAAAACCCUAUGUGUAUGCAUGAGAGAAAAGUGAGCACCCAAAGUGAGCAAAAGAACCGAGUGGCACAAUGACAUAGAUCGAGUGGCAUUCGAUAAAGCUAAUGUGAAAUGACACUAGAGUUAGUGUGAUGUAAAGAACUAAAGUGAUGUAAAGAAUGAAGAAAGUGACAACGUGUAAGGUCAAAGUAAAAUGGGGCAAUAAGAACAAGAAUUGUAACGAACAAGAAUGCUAGAGUUAGCAAGAGAAAUGAAAAUGUAAAGAAUGUGAUUGCAUGAGUUUGCAACAUAAAGUGAUGUAAAGAACACUAGAGCUAGUGUAAAGUCAAGAUUGAACUUAUAAAUCUUUUGAGUUAAGGAUAUGAUCAUACUUGCUAUGAGUUCUGUGCUCGAGGGCGGUCGCUUCCCCUCGGGCGAUGCGCUCCGGAGUUAUACAUCCGGGUUGGAGUAAACCCGUAAGGACGGUCCUAGCUGGUGAGUUCCUGCGAUGAUGGACUUAAUGUGAAGCAAGUUAAUGUGGCGAAACCCCCGGGUUAGCCUUAAUGAUUAAAGAGCAAAGAGUAAAGAACAAAGAGCCAAGAACAAAGUGUAAAGUGCAAAGAACUAAAGAACAUGCAUAACCUGCAUUUAUGUAAUGUUGAGCAUAAUUCUUGCUAUUUGUUCAGGCAUAUUAGCAUUAUGUAUAGUUUGGUUACUAUUUACAGCCUAUUUCUUCUAUUAUGCCUGAGUUAGUCCUAGUGGGAAAGUCGGUGAUGUUGAGGCCGAAC